GUUCCGCCGCGUGGAAGCUUCGAGUCUCGACUCCACUGUUGACCGCUAGACGAGAGUAGUGCAGCGACGGGGCCGUGAUGUGCGUCCUGGCUUUCUUAACAACACCUCUCCUCUGUAUUUCCUUUUUCCACUUCCUCUUCCAGGCCUUCUUGUUCUUGCCUUGUGGCAAUAGCUUUGGGGCUUCUGACUGCAGUUCUUCUGAGUGUGCUGCUAUACCAGUGGAUCCUGUGCCAGGAGCCUGCUCCAAGUUUUCCUCAGUGAGGCUUUUCGCUGGAUUGGUCUGAGGAAAAAUUCUGGCUGGAGGUGGGAAGACGGAUCACCUCUAAACUUCUCAAGGAUUUCUUCUAAUAGCUUUGUGCAGACAUGCGGUGCCAUCAACAAAAAUGGUCUUCAAGCCUCAAGCUGUGAAGUUCCUUUACACUGGGUG
rnacentral:sRNA from 1 species